UGGGGGAUAUUGCACAAUGGGCGAAAGCCUGAUGCAGCGACGCCGCGUGGGGGAUGAAGGCUUUCGGGUUGUAAACCUCUUUCGCUAUUGAACAAGGCCCGCUUAGGGUGGGUUGAGGGUAGGUGGAGAAGAAGCGCCGGCUAACUACGUGCCAGCAGCCGCGGUAAUACGUAGGGCGCGAGCGUUGUCCGGAAUUAUUGGGCGUAAAGGGCUUGUAGGCGGCUUGUUGCGCCUGCUGUGAAAACGCGGGGCUUAACUUCGCGCGUGCAGUGGGUACGGGCGGGCUUGAGUGUGGUAGGGGUGACUGGAAUUCCAGGUGUAGCGGUGGAAUGCGCAGAUAUCUGGAGGAACACCGAUGGCGAAGGCAGGUCACUGGGCCAUUACUGACGCUGAGGAGCGAAAGCAUGGGUAGCGAACAGG
rnacentral:rRNA from 1 species